AGAGAGAGACAUGCGCGCAUAUCAAUAAGCGGAGGAAAAGAAACUAACAAGGAUUCCCCUAGUAACGGCGAGUGAAGCGGGAAGAGCUCAAAUUUGAAAUCUUAAAGGGUUUCCCUUUACGAAUUGUAGUUUAAAGAAGUGUUUUCUGUUGAGGUUUUGGUAAAAGUUCUUUGGAAUAGGACAUCAUAGAGGGUGAGAAUCCCGUAUUUGACCUUUACUUUCAACUUUGUGAUACACUUUCAAAGAGUCGGAUUGUUUGGGAAUGCAGUCCAAAAUGGGUGGUAAAUUUCAUCUAAAGCUAAAUAUUGGCGAGAGACCGAUAGCGAACAAGUACCGUGAGGGAAAGAUGAAAAGAACUUUGAAAAGAGAGUUAAACAGUACGUGAAAUUGUCAAAAGGGAAGUGUUUGACACCAGUGUUGUUUUUCUGAAAAUCAAUUAAAGAACUGUUUAUGCUAAGUUGUUUAGACUUUAUCAGCUAACUGUUUAGUUUUGAGCUUUUCUUUAAUGCACUUUUCAGUUAACAAGUCAACAUCAAUUUCUUUUGCUGUAAAAAAGCUUGAGGAAGGUGGCUUGAGAUUCGUCUUAAGUGUUUAUAGCCUCUUGCCUAUGCAGUCGGAGAGAUUGAGGUCUGCAGCGUAGAUCCUUCGGGGCUAAAUGCAUUUGUGCUAAGUUAUAGCAUUUUAUAGACAACUUGUUGACUAUGAUUUGUCUUGUAGCUUACUCGCUUAUGUUAUUUUACCUACGCUUAGGAUGUUGACGCAUGAGAUAUACGC
rnacentral:rRNA from 1 species